rnacentral:rRNA from 1 species
UACAGAGGGUGCGAGCGUUGUCCGGAAUCACUGGGCGUAAGGGCGCGUAGGGGGUGGCUUAAGCGUGCGGUGAAAGCUCGGGGCUCAACUCCGAGUCGGCCGUGCGAACUGGGCUCACUGGAGCAUAGUAGAGGCAGGUGGAAUUCCGGGUGUAGCGGUGGAAUGCGUAGAGAUCCGGAAGAACACCGGUGGCGAAGGCGGCCUGCUGGGCUAUGGCUGACACUGAGGCGCGACAGCGUGGGGAGCAAACAGG